rnacentral:lncRNA from 1 species
AAUAAACUCAUGGAGUUUUCCAUACUCUGGAUUCAGCUAACUGUAUCCCUGUGGUGGUGUUUAAUGUUUCUCUGCCCUGUAUAUUUCCUAUAAACUGGUAGUAAGAUCUAGAAACUUGCCCAGAUUCAGGUUAAUUUCUUUGCAAGAAACACUUCAUAGGUGAAGUUCUGGCCUUCUAUUAAGAGGCUCCUAGUAUCUGGUAGUCUCUGUGAUAUUAGCAGUGACGAAAAUCAGUGAGUUCAUCAGGGCUUCUCAAAUCUCAAUAAUCUAGUUCUGUCGUUCCUUCUUCAUUUCUUAGCUGGAAUAUUUCUAUACAGAGAAACUUAACUACCUUGAGAUAGAGUUUGUAUGGGAAAAGCAAGAUAAAUGCUUGAUUUUUUCCUUUUAUUUAUCGGGGUUAUUUUUUCCUUUUAUUUUCAAAAUAGUGAGCUAAUUUCUCUAAAGAUAAAUUAAUAAGGUUUUAAAAAUAAGAUUUUAAACUCAUGGGUUUAAUUGAUUAUUUCUAUUAUUUGCAGUUAUCCAUUUUGGUGCUCAAAUGGUCCCAUUUUUGGUAAAUGGGAGCCUCUGUAUAUGGAGUUCCUGGGCCAGGGGUCAGAUCCAAGCUGCAGCUUCGACCUAUGCCAUAGCAUCAACGCGGGAUCCUUAACACACUGUACCAGGCCUGGGGAUGAAAUCUGUGUCCCAGCACUGCAGAGACUCUACCAAUCCCAUUGUACCACAUCAAAAACUCUUCUUUUAGUCAUUUUUGAUACCAUUGCUUUUUUUUUUUUUUUUUUUUUUUUUUUGGCUUUUGAGGGCUGCAUCUGUGGUAUAUGGAGGUUCCUAGCUAAGGGUUGAAUUGGAGCUGCAGCUGCCUGCCUGCCUACACCACCGUCACAGCAAUUCAGGAUCCAAGCCAUGUCUGACCUACACCACAGCUCAUGGCAACACUGUAUGCUUAACCCUAACCCAAACAAGGCCAGGGAUUGAGCUUGCAUCCUCGUGGAUACUAGUUGGGUUCGUUACCGCUGAGCCACAAUGGGAACUCCUGCAUUGGUCUUCGAUAGUGUCCCUGCUACUGGUAGAAUUAGAUGGUCCUGGCUUAUAUUAGACUUCUAUCGCUUCAGACCCAGAGUUAGCUAUUUCUUCAAGCAACCCUUGUUCUGAUCAAUGGGAGUCUGUAUUUGGAUGUGACAUCCUGGGUACUGGAGCACUGUGUUUUCACACUUUAUCCAUGUUGCAGUGGGCAAUUUUUUCCAGUCUGCCUUCUCUAAGUGCUGUGCUGCACUCCACAGUGUGUAUUUUCUACGUGGUGCAAACCCAUUUCUCCAGUGAUGGAGCCCAAGCUGGCUGCCUUCUCCCUGCUUCCACAAACAGCACAACGAGGAGCUUCCUUGAACAUGUCCUCUUACCGAUCUGUGUGAGAAUCUUUUUUAAGGUCAGUGUUAUUAACCCUAUUUUAUUGGGAAGGCCACCAAGCAGCUAGGAAUGGGGAAGAAGAUGGGGAAGGAGGGAAAAAGGAGGGUGCAGAAAGGAGAGAUGGGAUACAGGACAGAGGCAGAGUGGGGGCGCUAGAGACUAGGUUUCCCCUGUGUGUCUCCAGCAGAGGCUGCUCAUUCUGCUGAGGUUCUAUUGUUGUAGGUCCUGGAGGAAGGUUGGCAGGGGGUGGAUCAGCAUCCUCCUAGCACCUCAGGGCUUCCCCACCUUUCUUCAUGAACCAAGAACUCCCAGGAUACUAUAGCACAUGCCGUGGGAAUAGCUCAAGCUCUGCUGCUGCACUUGUUGUCUACACUGUGGUUUCUUCUGCACAUACACUGAGGGCUUUGGAAGGUGACUCUGAGUCUUCUCCAUGUCACCACUAGUCACCAUCCUGGUCAAAUUUGUCUUUCAUGUGGAUGACCUAUUCUGUAUGAGAGCCUCUCAACAGCUUGGUUUCCUUUAUAGCAACACUCUUUACUCUUUUCCACCUCAGAGAUCUGUUCCCAAGGCCACACCAUGAAAGAGUCCAGCAAGAGCCAAGGCUUGUUGGCUAGAGAGAAGGCUGUUUUGGCUACAGCCCAGGGUGUAGUGCCCAAAGUGCAAGAUAUGUUCCCAGAGUUAAUCAGGGCCCCUCACUCAGAGCUUUGUAGGUCAUAUUAGAGAUUUUGGCCUCUAUUCUAAGAGAAAUUAAAGGUACUGAAAGGUUUUUGUUUGUUUGUUUGUUUUUUCUUUUUAGGGCCACACUUGUGGCAUAUGGAGGUUCCCAGGCUAGGGGUCUAAUCAUAGCUGUAGCUGCCAACCUGUGCCAGAGCCACAGCAACGCAGGAUCCGAGACGCGUCUGCGACCUACAUCACAGCUCACGGCAACGCCAGAUCAUUAACCCACUGAGCAAGGGCAGGGAUCGAACCUGCAACCUCAUGGUUCCUAGUCGGAUUCAUUAACCACUGCGCCACGACGGGAACUCUCUGAAAGGUUUUUAAAUGUGGCAGAGAGUGUGGCAUGCGUUGGUGAAGGUGGUGUGAUCAGAUUUGCAUAUUGAAAAGAUCUCCAUGGGUACCGUGGAGAGAAUGGACCAGAAAAGAAUAGACACAGGAUAACUGAUGAGGAGGCUUUUGCUAGGAUUGGGUGAGAAGUCAGGUGGCUUGGAGCAGGGAAGAGACAGAUUGGAAGCUUUGGGGGAUCUUUAGGCAUGAGAUCUUCAGCACCUGCUGCUGGUUUGGAAAUGGAAGGAAAAAGAGAGGAGGCAGUCAAGGGUGAGUCCCAGGUUUGUAGCUUGCCUUACUGGGCAGCAGGUAGGGCCAUUCCCUGGGCAGGGGACCAUGGGAAGAGGGCCAGGCUGGAAGGUGGGUGGCGAUGGAGUGGAAUGUUCAUGGGUGAAUGGGGAUUGCAAACAUUGUCUUGGAUAUUUUGAGUAGGAGAAGGUUUGGAACCAGCCAGUGAAGAUUUGAGUGUGAGGGGGGUGGGUGGCUGCACUGGUCUGGAGCUCAGAAGAGGCACCUGGACUGAAGAAGUUGGGCAUCAUUAGUGUGUAGGUGGAAAUUAGGCUGCUGUGUGGCUGAGAUGGUCCAACAAAAGAUUCAGAUGAGCAGAGAAGAGGGUCUGGGCCCAGCCUUGAGGAUACCAGUGUUUAGUGGUUAUGUGGAGGAGAAUGAAUGUGCAAAGGAGACAGAGGGAGCCACCUGAGGCAGGGGAGAAGCAGAGAACGCAGUGUCCCUCACAGAGGCCACAGGAAGAAUGGAUUUCAAGAAGGCCAUCUCCUUCUGCUGUGUGAGAGAGGACAGGAAA